GCUGCUUGCCCCUAAGGAAAAAGACCCGUCAAACUCACGUAUGAAACUCGGUGUGUGUAGAUUGUCUCUUUCCCCAACUUUACCCAGAAGGCUUUGCAAUUUAGGUGGGAGCCCUUCGCGCAUGGGACAACGAAAAGUGCAGAGUCAUACCCAUAAGCCAGAAUCGUCUCUUUUCUCAUCGGAUACACUGCGUAAUUGCUCGAAAUUAACUGCAGAGUCGAAUGUCGAUGAACUGUUCGAUGAAACGCCUAAAUUAGAUGUCGUAUCAGCAACAACUAUAAUUGGACGGUUUGUUAGGCAGCACCGAUACAAAGAAGCUAUACAUUUUUUCUCUAGAAUGCUUUUUUGGAAUAUUAGGCCCAAUGAGUUCACUUUUGGCUCUGUAAUUCCCUUGUCCACUGCACUAGAAGACCUUUGUUUGGGGAAACAAUUUCAUGCUUGUGCAUUGAAGAUGGGCCUUAACGAUAUUGUAUUCGUGGGAAGUGCAAUUCUUGAUGUCUAUGCCAAGUUGCGUUCAAUUGAGGAAGCUCGGAAAGCUUUUGAGGACAUCGAAAAGCCUAAUGUUGUCUCUUACACAACUUUGAUGAAUGGGUAUUUGAAGCAAGGUAGGAUUGAGGACGCUCUUCAGCUUUUCCAAGAGAUGCCUGAGAGAAAUGUGGUAUCAUGGAAUGUGAUGAUUGGUGGAUGUAGCCACACGGGGCAAAAUGAAGAGGCUGUAAAUCUCUUUGUUGAGAUGCUGAGACAAGGUUUGACGCCUAGCCAAUCUACAUUUCCUUGUGUCAUUAGUGCAGUUUCAAAUAUAGCAGCACUUGGGAUGGGCAAAAGCUUCCAUGCUUUUGUUGUUAAGUCCUCAUGUAACUUUGAUGUGUUUGUUGGCAACGCAUUAAUAAGUUGUUAUGCAAAAUGUGGAAGCAUGGAAGACAGUCUUUUGGUUUUCAAUAAGCUUCCCGAUAGAAAUAUUGUAUCUUGGAAUGCCUUGAUAUGUGGCUUUGCCCAGAAUGGAAUGGGGGAGGAUGCUUUAAUCUCCUUUGAGAGGAUGAGAGCUACAGGCCUAAGACCUAAUAGUGUUACACUUCUUGGCCUUUUAUGGGCGUGUAAUCAUGCUGGUCUUGUUGAUAAGGGCUCUUUGUACUUCAAUCAAAUUAGGAUUGAGGACCCUAACAUGUUAAAACCUGAACACUAUGCUUGUAUGGUUGAUUUACUCUCUCGGUUUGGUCGUUUGAAAGAAGCUGAGGAGCUUCUUAAUGUUUUGCCUUAUGAUCCAGGAAUUGGGUUUUGGAAAGCAUUGCUUGGAGGCUGCCACAUCCACUCAAAUGUGGAAUUGGGUGAGUUGGCAGCAAAGAAGAUCCUGGCUUUGGAUCCUGAAGAUGUUUCAUCAUACGUAAUGCUGUCUAAUGCUUAUUCUGCUGCUGGCAGAUGGCAGAAUGUCUCAAAAAUAAGAAGGGAAAUGAAGGAGAAAGGACUUAAGAGGGUUCCAGGUUGUAGUUGGAUUGAAAUUAGAAGCAAAGUUCAUGUCUUUGUCAACUCUGACAGGAGUCAUCACCAAAAGGAUGACAUUUAUGGAGUCUUGAAUUUUUGCAUUGAACAGUUAAGAGAGAUUGAAGUACCAUAUUUUUAAUAGAGUAUUAAGGUCCAAAGCCAAAUCUUCCACUAAAUCUAUUGGAUUUUGGUGCAGAACCUGAUAGCCAGUUUCUUGGCUUGAUGUGGCUGUGAAAUCCUGUAUUUCAAACUUGGGUAAAUAACCAAAUGUAACUAUGCAUUCUGCUUAAAUGAAAUGGCAAACACAGGGAUAGUGAUGGGACAUGUCAAAAAGCUUCUGAAGUUUCAGACCUGCCACCUAUCAGUUCUUGGUUAAAAUUUUAAGUGCUGCCAUUCUAAGUACUUUACAGGGCCUAUGCAGUUUAUUCUCCAUUUUGUUAUGCUUUGAUGGAAGGAGUGGGUGCUCCUUUGAAGUCGUGUACAAAUCAAGUGGGGAGAUAUAAAUUAUAAUCUUUUGGACUUGUGGUUGCAGUUUCCCUCUUAAAAAGAGAUAACAUGUGAUCUAUCCAUCACUUUUCUGGAGUUACUUAAUGAGUAUUCUUUACAAUUUGAUGUUUAUGAUUUGUACUCUCUCUCGUAUAUCACUAGCUUUUUUCUUAUUUUCCUGGCUCGUUCUUUCAUAAGAUGAACUAGUUAUCUAAUGUGAUACUUAUGUCUUGCAGAAGCAGUUCAUAAAGUUUCUCAAAGGGAUGGAAGAGAGAAAGCCUUCCAUGCAGACUAUUCCGUUUUGCUUGGACUUCCUCAUCGAGAAAAAUCAAGUUAUUGCUUUGGACAUUUCUCCUACCUAGUUAAGCAUGCGGCAUUUCCUAGAAGGAAACAAGUUAUAUUUUAGUGCUCCUUUGUUUCACUGGAAAAUAAUUCUUGAGCAUUCUUACUAGACGAAGGAUAGCAGCAGUAGCUGCCCACGAAUCGUGAAUUUAGGCCCAAGACCGUUACAAGUAGACUGCAGAAAGAAGGAGGAGCAGAGGAAAUUGGGCGGAAGCAUUCUAGAAAUCAACACAGCUGGAAGGAAUUGGCGAAGAAGUGUUGUCCGUUAGAGGGAUUUCAGAGGCCCUACCACAUGGAGAUACUAACAGAAUGGAGGAGUACAGGCGGCAUUCUUAACAGAGAGCGGCGUCAACUGUCAAAUUUGCUCAUAGAUUAGAGCUGUGUAUCUGGGGAUAGCAUAUUGCUAGUUUGGGAGGGUAUCUUCUGGUUAUUUUGUUCCUGUUUAUUGUUGAAUUUACUAAUUGCUUUUGUUUAACUAGUAUUUGAAAAUAUUUUUCAUUGAUAACAAAAUAGUGUUCAAUAAAAUAAUUUAUUUUUUAUUA